AGUUAUAACAUGUGAAGUGGCCCUAUGCAAGAGAGUAGGAAGAUAUGGCGACUUCUGCCCUGCUUAAUUUGUUCUUGAACAUAGCACAAAUAGAGCUUAUAAAUUCUUCAUUAAAGACACAUGUAUAUUUCAUCCGUGAUCAAAACCGUAAGUGUUUCUCAUACCCAUUUUUUGCAUGUAAGUUCUUUACCCCUGUGUCCACAUCAACAAGGACCUCUGCAAGGCAGCAGCUUAAUUGCCGAUGCUGCCAAAUCCCCAUAGAGAAUAUGUCUCUUUUCAUUCCGGUCUUCCUUUUCCUUGUUAAUGCAGAAAGAUGAUUAAAAAUUGAAUUUCCAUAAUGCUGCACUAUAAACGGCUAUUUAUAAGCAGAUAACUGGAUUAGUUGCUAUGGAAACAGAAAAUAUCGUGCCGAAAUCGAAUCAGCAUAAUCUAGAAAGGAUCACUUCUGUUCAGGCAUGGCACCCUGUUACUCCUCUAUUUAUCUUCUUCUCUGCUCCCAGCCAUGGCUGUAGAAAUCCCAUCACGGCCCCCAUAUCCCCUUCUGCAUUUGUGGUUGAAGUGGGGUGGGUGGGGGGUAGAACGAGAAAACCAUACUGUGGAACUAGGAGGAGGUCUGCAAAUUUUGCUCUCUCUUUUAGAAUUGAGCUUCAGAAUUUGGUUUUUGUUUCGGUCCAUGAAACUGUGGGGACUAAUUCAUUUCAAGCGAACCAUACUAUAAUCACCACUUUGCGAUUCUGAAUGCCGAUGUGCCGUCAAUAAAGCUAUCAAAAGAAGCUGAGCCAUGUUGAUAUACAAAGAUGGCAAUGCUUGCCGUGUGCACAUCAGGCUCCUGUGAUGCUGGCAUGUUUCUAUGGCAACAUGCCUCUUGCCUCAUCACUGUAGCAACAGGUGCCUGAUCCCUUUGGCAGCCAGUCUGAAAAUCUGCAACAGUAUUGUAAUUGUAUCCUUUUUGCUGGCUCACAAUUUUCUGCUCUCCAGCGCUGCUAAUCAGGGCCAACGGAAAGAGCCCGAUCUUGCAAUCUGGCUUGGCCACCAUUCGGUAUAAGAGGAACUCAAUAAGCAUUUUAGGGAAGCUUUUAAUGUUUGAUGUAUUACAGUAUUUUGAUAUUUCUUUGGAAGCCGCCUAGAGUGGCUGGGGAAGCCCAGCCAGAUGGGCGGGGUAUAAUAAAUAAAUAAAUAAAUAAAUAAAUAAAUAAAUAAAUAAAUAAUUUUCUUAUCUGGACCCUCAUUGCAAAUUUUUAUCAAUGAAUUGCUUAAAGGUGGUCCGAAAGUAAUUUCAUGUGGACCACCCAGAGCUCACUGAUUGCUGGAAUACUGACAAAGAAUGCUAGACUAGGUAGGUCUUAAAACAAAUCCACCAGAGAACUUGAGCUUUUAAGCAAGAGUGAUUACUUAAAAUAAUUUAACAGACAUUAGUUUUGCCUGACCUGUUCAGAAAUCCUGAGUAUGUGCUUUGGCCUUAUAACAUGGGGAUUCUAGUUAAAGAAUUGGGCUACACAAAAGUAUAGCCGGGCCAUAUCUGAUGACACACCGUAUAUUUAAAGCACUAUUAUACC
rnacentral:lncRNA from 1 species